UUCCUCUAAUAUAUUCGAAAGGCACAAAUCAAAAGCUCAAAAUUGAAUACCCUGUUGUCACUGUGAAAUUUAGGAGAAAAACACAUAUAAGUGGAAACCCACCUACAAUGUCAGAUCUUAAAAAGAAUACAAAUUAAUCAAAGAACAUAUCCCAUGCAAAAUCAAUGAAGAAAGAACUAACCAAUAAGAUUAUUAGUAACAAGAAUUACAGGAAGACCAAUCUCAGACUCUAAGGAUCAAAAGUAAAAACUCCACAAGAAAAACUACGGCAAGUAAGAUCCAACCGCCACACCAACCCAAUCAUUCUAUAAAAAGGCCGAGAAUUAUUAUAUUGUAACAAUAUCUAUAAGAUAAAAAGAAUAAAACCCAAUUUUCAGCACGUCUUUAAGGAAUAUAAUACUCCAAUUACUAAAUGAAUAAAACCAUAGAAGAAAUCAAGAACAGAACAAAACUCAAAAAAUAAAACAGAGAACCCCCACCGCUGUUUGCGGUUAAUUGAAG
rnacentral:misc_RNA from 1 species